AUUGAACGCUGGCGGCAUGCCUUACACAUGCAAGUCGAACGGUAACAGGUCUUCGGAUGCUGACGAGUGGCGAACGGGUGAGUAAUACAUCGGAACGUGCCUAGUAGUGGGGGAUAACUACUCGAAAGAGUGGCUAAUACCGCAUGAGAUCUACGGAUGAAAGCAGGGGAUCGCAAGACCUUGCGCUACUAGAGCGGCCGAUGGCGGAUUAGGUAGUUGGUGGGAUAAAAGCUUACCAAGCCGACGAUCUGUAGCUGGUCUGAGAGGACGAUCAGCCACACUGGGAAUGAGACACGGCCCAGACUCCUACGGGAGGCAGCAGUGGGGAAUUUUGGACAAUGGGCGCAAGCCUGAUCCAGCAAUGCCGCGUGCAGGAUGAAGGCCUUCGGGUUGUAAACUGCUUUUGUACGGAACGAAAAGCCCUGGGUUAAUACCCUGGGGUCAUGACGGUACCGUAAGAAUAAGCACCGGCUAACUACGUGCCAGCCGCCGCAGUAA
rnacentral:rRNA from 1 species